UCCUCUUCCUCCCCCACUCCUCCCUUUCUCUCUGCUCUGAUUAGGAGGGGAGCAGUUCCCACCCCUGGUUCAGACGGGUCUUCUACAGGUUAACUCUUCGGUUGCCGCCUCUGACUUUAUCUCCUGCGAGGCCGGCGGUCUGCUCGUGUUUUCACAGAGGCCCCUGCCAGACCAUUUGCGGCAUGUAACUGGUGUUUUCGAGGGAGACCCGAUGCCACAAAAUGGGGCAGAGCUCUGUGUUGUUAAAGGACGUGGAUGAAGCUUUUUUUUCCCCUGAUUCAUCCGCCAACGGAGGCAACAAAAGAGGAGACAUUUGGGGGUAAAAAAAACAAAAACCUCAUGGGUUUUCCAGCCAGUGAACUUCCAGGAAGGCUGGAUAAUGCCCAGCAGAUCUGUGAACAAAUGGUGUAUUACCUAACCCCAACCAGCUUUACAUGAUUUACAGUAGAGUCAGGAGAGGCGGGUGUUUGAGCUCACACUGCCAUCUGCUGGGAAAAAGAAGCAACAAGAAGACAUAUACCCCCCCCCUUUAUUUCACCACACAGACGUGCCAAAACGCCCCAACAUGGCUCCCGAAAACGUCUCUGCCAACCUCACGGACAGAUUCCCCUGAAAUCAGGACUGGGUUUUAAGAUAAAAGAAGUCCCCUACAUGUAAAGCUCAGUCGGUAAUAUGGUGAAGGAGAACGGUAUGUGCCCUGGACUGGUUAGACUGGUUUCUAUGGUGCUGCUGGUUUCUAUGGCAUUUCACCAGGCGCACUUGGCGAUGGCGCCGAAUGAUUAAGGCGGGUCACCAAGGAUGAAAAAUACUGGCUCAGUGUGGGAAUGGAGAUUAAAGGAACGACGCAGCUGUGUACCAGGAAAUAAACCGUAGAGGCAAAGAAAAAAAGAUGUUGAAAACAGGAAGACGAUUUAAAAGAACUGGGUUUUUUUUAACGUUUAUAGAACGAGUACAAAACCUUUUAAACUGCUGUACAUGUGGCAUAUUCGGCAGAUGUGAUGCAGCAGGAGAGCAGAAUUCAACUUCUAAAAUCUCCAUUUACACACAGUAUAAAGGUCAAAGGUCAGCUCAACUUCCUUCUACAAGUGAGGAUGAAUAUAUAAUAUUGAUGCAUGAAAGCAGAGUAAAAUAAAAAUACUCUAAAACCUCAAAUUGUACUCCAGUAAAAUACUGGAUUAAUGUACUUUUUAAUAUGUAAAAGUAGGAAAAGCGUAAAAUUUUCAAAUGAGUCUUAAAAACGAAACCAUCUGAAUCAAACCCGUUACUCCGCUGAUAGUUUACAUUCCACCGCUAUAUUAGACGGUAUAAAGUGUUCAUGUAUUUUAGCAGCACAGAGUUAAAAGUAAAUGUUCUUGGGUGGUGAUGGCGCAGUGGAUAAGACACAUGCCCUGGGUUCCGUUCCCGCUGUGACGCGUCCACCGUUGUGUCCCUGAGCAAGACACUUAACCCCUAGUUGCUCCAGAGGCGUGCGACCUCUGACGUGCAUAGCAAUUGUAAGUCGCUUCGUGAAUGUGUGUGCAAAGUUUAGUUGAGUUUUCGAGCAUCCUUGGCCUCUUAGAAACCGCUUCCUGUUUCGCGGCGAAUAAUACCUCCAAUGAAAACCCACAGGCUUUAUUUAAUUUAAUGAAAACAAGAUUCACCACCAAUGAAAAGGUUCCUUUUGUUUUCUGACUUUUGUAAUCUGAAAUCACAUUUUGUUAUGUACACCAGUUAUCUAAAUGUUACAUCUACACUUUUUCUUCUAAACACAACAGUGAAUUUCUCCUCUGCGGAGUCCGACUUUUGUAUUGAGCAUCGGGGUGAUUAUGUGUUGUUUACUGUCUGUGUGUUACAGAUUCAUUCAGCAGAUUAGAUUCUGAUAUUUUUGAUGUUUGGAGCUGAAAACUUGUUGAUGUUCGUGGCUUUUUAGUUCAGGUGUCAAACAGGAAGUCAGAGCAGCGUCUUAACUCUGUUCCUGUUUGUCACACUGCUUUCAGAUGAGCACAUGAGACAGAUUAACACUUUUAAACCCUUUUUAUUUAACAAUAGAAGUUCUUAAAUGUUGGCUAAAACCAAGCAGCCCUUGGUGAACUGAUGACUGAACGGUAUGAUUUAUGUUUUAUUGUUAUGUUAUAUUAUCAGUGGUGGAAGAAUCAAAAGUCUUCUCAGCAAAAUGUACUUAAGUAUCAAAAGAUUACCUACGUUUCCCAGAAUGCCUCAGAAGACGUGUUGCUUUCAGCCUAAGGCGGUAUGGUCACCCCGGGGUCUCCUAGCAUCUCUAAGGCAGAGCCCCGACGCCCAACGGAGGAAACUCACGGGAGGUUUUCUGGGCACGUCCAACUGUUAGAAAAACACCGGGGUAGACCCACAACUCGCUGGAGAGAGUGUUUCACAUCUGGCUCGGGAAGGACUCCGGAUCCCCGAGGAGGAGGAGCUGGAAAACAUCUGGAGCACCUCGUUUAAUCCUGCUGCUACUUAAAUCACAGAUAAUAUACCUGAUGUGAUGCGUCAGUAAAUUACCUUAGAUCAGGUAAUAACUGCUACAUACUGUUUGUAAAUAUUUACCAUCUUUCCAGAUGCAAAACUGUGUCAACUUCUCAAUUUUGUUCUGCUGUAUUUUAAAUGAUUGUUUUUUACUGUAAUGGCUGCAACUAACACUUACUUAUUGAGGUGCGAAAGCAAACAAUGGAAGGUGAACACAUAAGUAUACCAGGUAAAUUAACCUGCUUACAUUUUUCAUUUCUAUUACACUUUUGUUACUUGUUUUAUCUAAAGUACUUUGAAUUGUCUUUUUGCUCUAAUUGUUAUAUACAAAUAAAACUCGCUUGGCCUGAUUUAUAA